rnacentral:lncRNA from 1 species
UUUUAGCAAAUCACAUGUCGCAUCAACAUGGUCUUUACCAGACGAGAAUAUGACACUAUAAUAAUACAGAUAUUGACUACAUUCGAGCGGACCACGGCGGCACAUCCGGCGAAUCACUACCAUAUCACAUGUACAAACUGUUUCCGUUACAAUAUAAACGCCUAAAAGCAUCGUCUAAAGCCAGUUCAAAAUGUCUUUAUUCCAUUGCUUUCAUAUUGUUACAGGACAAGUGUAAACAUAUACACUGGGAGUGUUUCUGAUUUUGUCUCGUCUGUCGUAUGCUUAUUUUAGUAAGCUCCUCUGGUACGAAGUUUAAGGAUUGUUGUGUCUCCGUCCUUCGACCGACUUCAAUUCACCGUCCACUGUUCUUCAUACCCAUAUGGAUUUCUUCAUUCUAGGUCAUUUACAAAGAUGUUUGGUUAUAAUGGCAACCAAAAGGAAAAUUGUGAAAAUCUUCUUUUAGGAAAUCUAUCGAUUUCAAAAUAAUUUCAAAGCAACAUUGCUUGCGUGUCCUUUCACAAAUUUCUUCAAACCAUAUUGAUUUGCAGUAAUACGAGGUCUUUAGAGUUUUAAAAGAAAAUAUUAUAGUUCUUCAUGUCUUUAACCGUUAGCCCAGUUUUGAAAUAACUUCAUACAAAUAUCACUUUGACCAUCUUCUAACAUAUCCUUCUUAUCAUUCCGCUGUGUUAAGUUAUAACAUGAUAUGAGCCGAGUAUCUCAAAACAUCUAAGUUUAGUUUUUGUAACAAUUUGGACGCAAAAAAAGGACAGUUUUAUUAAUUACGUUGGGCUAAGAAUAUAUAUAAAUGGAUAAUACAAAUGAUUGAAUUUGUUCUGAACAUAUGCGUUUUCUCUACAUUUCCUCUCCCUUCCUUUUUAUUCUGGUGAAUAUAGUUUCUUAUACAGCAUUUUAUACCGUUACUUUAUGGGUACCUGAUAUUGCUAAAAUAUUCUAAAUACUAAUAAUUCUGUAUACUAGUACUUUUAUUUCAUCUUUUCUUUCCAUUUUUGUUGUUGUUGUUUUUUCCCCUUUUCAGCAAUAACUCAGCAUGUGUUACACAUUACUAUAACAACCAUCAAUAAGUAUUAUCAUUCCGGAGGCUCACUCGAUAAGUAUUCCAAUACUUCCGUCAAUAUCCUGUUGUUUAUGCGAUAAUGUGUGUAUGUACGUGUAUGAUUGUAUCUUGUGUAAUAUUACUGUACAAUAAAAUAUUCUUAAACUAACGUUUGUUUAUAAUGAUCCCAUGAUCAAAUUGGUUAAUUAAAUGCCCAAAUUUAAUUUCAUAUAUCAAGAAUUUAAUUCAAGUGUGUGAAUCGUAAUGUCUGUAAUUUUCAGUGGUGGAUAUGGACAAUUAUAGGACAAAUCAGACGGAUGUAUUUUUUUAAUCAAUGAUAUAUAGAUGAUGACGUGCAUUGCAUGUUAAGUGUGCAAAGAGAAUAAUUUAUCAAGAUUCAUACUAUAACUGCAUCAAAACUCAUACAGUGUAACGUUAUAUUCUAGUCAUUUAGAGUAAGUGUCAACCUAGCAUCGAUCGCUUCUAACUUAACACAUUCACAAUUGGAACUCAGAGGAUAUGAAAUACCAUGGAAACAGAAGCUAAUACAAGUGGAAAUUGUACGUCACCGUUUACGUGGGUCGGGUCCGCCUCCGCACGGUUUGGAUGUUUACAAGAGCUCAACCCAUGUCAUACUUACUAGGAAAUUCGUCGAAUAUAUACUGACCGACGAGAUAGCACAUCGUGUUUUAAUGUGGUCAAGAAAAAUAAUGGUACCCGACGAGAUGGUUUUUCCAACACUGAACUGCAACAGGAAGCUUAAGGCACCAGGAUCUUAUGAAGGAUAUACAAAUUUGUACGAUCAUCACAAGAGUUAUUUUUCAAGAUACAAAAUGUGGGGAACGGGAAACACGCAGUGUCACGGGAAAAUCGUGCGGGGCAUAUGUAUAUUUGGGCCACGUGACGUUGAAAAUUUACUGACGAGACAUGAACUUUUCGCCAAUAAAUUUCACUUCAGUGAAUUUCCCGAAGUGCCAUUCUGUUUACGAAAUAUAUUAUUAAAAAGAACUAUUUUAGAAUAUAAAGGGUAUAUGGAUUUUAAUGUAUCAUUUUAUAGCAAUAUACCUUACAAAUGGUAACAUAUUAUUCAAAAUUACAAUCUGUUUUUGUUGGCCAUUAAAAGAAAUUGUUUUCUUUUUAUUCUGUACAUGCUAUUUGUUCAAGUCGUCUUUUCAGAAGUACUUAUCAUAAAAUAAACAAACGUGUUUGUAAACAUGUACGGUUCUAAACUGAAGAGGAUCCAUGCCCAAAAAUAAUGACAAAAUACAUUGCACAUCGCAUAUCCGUAGCCCUUUGCCAACCAAUAAACCGGACCAAUGUAUUUUAUAAGUACAACAACACUGUUGACCCAUUUA